rnacentral:sRNA from 1 species
UAGUUAAGUUGGUAAGUGUCUUUUGU